GGCGGAGCCGCGGUCCCCACAGCCGCCCCACCCGCGCCGCUGCCUCGCUGGGGCCCGGGCCCCCUUCCCGGUCCUUACUCCCCUGCUGGUGCCUCCCUCCUUGGCGCGCUUCCCACCUGCGAUCGGCGCCCUCUUCGCAGUCACGAACUCGCCAGCAGCUAGCAGCACUGACUAGUAGGAGGGCCCGCCGGAGGAGAGCCGCGCGGCCCACAGAAGCGGAACGCGCGUCGAGAGCGCCCUGUCCGCUCGCCCCAGACAGAUGCCCGGUUAUUCAUUACCGCGAGGCCUAGAGGAAAGAGUGGCUGCCGUCUUCCUGCCCACAGCCCGCCGGACCCUCCGUCGCGGCUGCCCGGUCCCCGGAGCCGCAGCCGCCGAGCCCGGCUGUGCGUGUCGUGGCUGCUGGGGAGAAAGAGGCUUCCGGAAGCCCCAGAGAGAUUGGUGAGGGUGAUUUCCCAGGAAGACGCAGUGUGCUCUGACUUCUGUGACAGUGAGCAACGGGACCAGUGGAUGUCCAGAUGCUGGCAAUGAGACAUGCUCUGGAGUCAGAAGACAGCGAAAAGAGAAGCAGAAGCCCCGGUGGCAAGAGUCUGAAGCAGGAAGGAUGACUGUAGCCUGUGGAUUGUACUGCAGUAGGAAACUGUCCUAGCAAGGCUCCACUUUGCCCCAGCUUCAAGCUGGAAAGGAGGAGAACAUGAAACAUUGCUUGAAGACAAUGGCCGAGACAGCAGGUCCCACCCUGCACAGCCACCAGCAUCUCUCCCCUCAGCCCUGUCUCCUCUUCUGCAGUUGGGAUCUGCACAUUUAAGCCUGAAAUUGUCCUGUGAAGUGAAGUAUGAUCGGACAGCCUCUUUUCAGCUUUUAUGACAAUGGAGACAGAGGAAUUGUGGCUCUUGCCAAGGUCACAGGAUUGGAAUACAGAGCCAAGCCACCCCAGGACAUGCAAGAGCCUCAGAAGGGAAAAAAGCCCAGCAGGAAGGGAGAACAAGUAGCCUCUGUCCUGAAGUUGUAACAGCCAGGGGCCAGGAUGGAGGAGGAGGACCCCAUAAUCUGCCCAUCUGGGACUUGGCAGGGGACCUGGGAAAAUGUACCCCAACCCAUCCCUUAAGGGCCUUUGUCUUUGGCCCAUUGGCCUAGCAUCUACUUCUUCACCGUGUCUGUUCUUGUCACACCUAGUCAGGUCUGUUUGGGUCUGAGGUGCAUGGAACAUUCUGGGUAGGCCUCCAGCAAACGGAAGCUCUUCACCGUGUUUCCAGCCUGGGACCAAGGGCAGCAUACUGGCAAAGUUGCCAAAGCAAGGGACUCCAGCCUCUUAGGAGUUAAUGACUCCCUCUCCCCAGCUGUCCUCCCCUUGGUGCUCCUCUUCCUCCCUCCUCCUGCUCACAGCAGGCAGGGCCUAGACCCGGGAGCCAUGCUGCUGUGCUGUUGCCAGGGGAGCACGGAGGCAGAUCUGAGCUAUGCAGGGAAAAGGCCCAGCCUGUCAAAGUGUCUGAGAUGAACCGCCGCCGUCCCUGUGCAGCUGGGCUCAGACGUGUCUCAGCUCUUGUUCUGUGCCUGAGAAUGGCGAAACCCAGUGAGGUUCAAGGGCAAACUCGCUAUUCAUUAGUCAGGGGUUCUUGACGUCCCGUCUCUCCCAGGGAUGAGUUCCCCCCUCCUCUUUCUCCCCCUCCUAUGACACAUUCCUGGGUGCCUUUGGUGAGGACUGCACACCCUCCUCCUGCCUAGCCCCCUCUCCAAAGGCCCCUGAAUAAACUCCCCCCAAGGAGACCAGGCAGGGCAGAGACAAUGGCUGCAGGAAAUCAUUCAGGCGGGACAUGCUGGCCUGCCCUCCACCCAGUCCCCCUGUGGGCCCCACUCCCUUCUGAUUCAGGGCACCCUUGGGCCCCCAGCCUAUACAGGCCUGGACAGGAAGAAACCACUGGGAACCACCCUAAGGACAACAUGCUAGUCCAGUGCCAUUCUUCGCUGGCUCUGUGGGUGCCUUUGUGGCCUGUACCGACUGGCUGGCUAAUUUUGUGGUUUCUGUACCAUCACAUGCCUAUUUUAAGACACUCUCCAGCACUGUCGGUUAGGGAGUGUAAAUUUUGCAAUAUUUUCUGAAAUGUGGCAAUAUCAAAAUGUAAAAGGCACACAUACUUGGUCACAAACAAAUGGCACUAUUUACUCUGUGGGCAUAUUUGUAAAAGUUGCCAAAGAAUUAUAUACAAGGAUGUUCAUCAGAGCAUUUCUUUUGAAGAGUAAAGAAAUGGACAUGAACCUGUGGUCCGUUCAUACGGUGGAAUACCUAUGCAGCUGUAAAAAUCAGUGUGGUAGAUCUCCGUAUAUGAGUUGAUGUGGAAGGUUGGCCAGUUCACAUGAUAAGGUGAAUAGAAUAAGUUACAGAACAGGCUGUAGAGUAUGAUCUUAUUUGUAGAUGUUUAAAACUGAGUCAUAAGUAUGCUUAUAUACAGAUCGUUUCUGGAAGUAUGUACUGGAAGUCUACCUCUGGGGAGUGGGGAUGGGGGAGUGCACUCUUCUAUACUGUUAUAUUUUCUUUUCAUGCUCCUAAGGUACUUUUAUUGGAAGAUGUAAAGCGGUUCAAUGUAAUAGGCUUAACUUCUGUCAACUAAGUUGGCGUGGGUGCUUUAAGAGGGUGGUAGUGAUGUUGCUGGAGAAAGUAUCCCACAGUCACUGGUGGCUUCAGCCACGGGCCAUUUUGGGGCCUAAUAAUCACAUAUCAUCAUGGUUGCUAGUGUUAAUCGAAAACCUACUAAGUGCCAGGCUUACUGUCUCUGGGUCUUGCUUACGUGGAUGUCAUUUUUCCAGUUGCACCAAAUCGAAAGAGGUUAAUUGGUUUGUUGGAGUUCCUUUGUAGGUGAAGGGCAGAGCCAGGAGCUUGGCUAGGGACAGGGGAGGUGAGUGGGGGAUGGUGGAUAGGUCUUGGCUCCCAGUUUCCUUCUGGGCAGACAUUGCCCCUCUGCCCUGAGGACCUGCUUGUUUGGGGGAAGAGGCCUUUAGAGGCACCAGGGUCAUGCCAGGUGUUGGACAUGGUGAACUGGGAAGUGCUCCCAUCUGGCCACAGCGCAGAAGUAUCACCGUGCUGGGGGAUGGGGAACAGGGCUGUGAAUGGGCCUAUUUGCAUAAGCAGCAUGUGUCUGGAGAGAAAGACAUCACAGAGCAGAAGAGUGCGGGUGCCCAGGAGUGCACUUGCCACCCCUACUUCAUCCCUGAAAGAGUAAAUGGCCUGGAAGGUGUCUCUGAGAGGUAAUGCCGCACACCACCCUCCCUGGGGGCAGGGUCAGGCUACACCUGCCUUAGGUCGGGGGCUGCAGCAGCCUGAGAGCUCUCAGUAGGGCCUCAGUAGCCUGGGAGGGAGCAGGGGCAGGGGGCAGGGAAAGAGGCGUAAUGGGGCUGUCCAGAGGGGCCUGGGAAACCUGGUCCCUGAGGCCUGGGCACAGCUACAAUCACUUCAAAUUGGCUGUGGGGCCAGUGGACUGGGAAGGAAAAAAGCAAUAAGAGUGACCAAGUGCAGAAGGCUGUCAGGUCCCAGGUCACAUGCCUUAGUGCAGUGACUCCUCAUCAUUUUAUGGGGUGUGGGUGUCGUUGGUACACCCAUUUUACAGAUGAGGACACCGAGGCCCAGAAAAGUUAAGUUACAUGUCCUAAGUCACACAGCUUGUAAGUGCCAGAACUGAGAUCAAAACCAAGUCUCUUUGACUUUAAAGUCUGUACUCUGACCCCAAAGAGAUCCUGUUUGGCCACUUAUAGGAGGUCCCUAAAGCUGCAGACUCCCCUUGCCGGCACCCACAUAUAGAGACAUUAACCCUUCCCCUGCAGGGUCACCUCAAAUAGUCUUUUAGCUGGGCUUCUCCUGCAAUUCCACCUAAUGCCAUCCCCUGGGUUUUGCCCAAACCUGAACUGGGCAGUGGGGUGAGAGGAGGGGUUUACAGGGUUACAGAGCCUCAUACAGAUAGGAGCCCAUGGCUGCUGGUCAUCUGCAUUCCUGCAGGAUUGGCUGUUCCUUGGGGUCCUUGGCAGGAAAAUGAGGAUUGCUCCGAGGCCUGCUCCAGUACUUCCCAGAGGCUGGCCUGGUGUGGGGCUCUGGGAAGGCUGAGGCUGGAGAAGCGUAAGUAGGAGGGCAGAGAUGGCACUCAGGUAGCUUGAAUCACCAGGACCCUUCCAAGCCCCACAGGUUCUGAGGGAGUACUAGGGCCAGCUCUGGGAGAGGUCUCUUCCUAUGCUGUGAACCCCCUGCCUUUCUUGCAGCCUACAACGAAUAAAUUUUCUUUGCAA
rnacentral:lncRNA from 1 species